UGUAUAUGUAAGUACAUUUCAUAUACCUAUGUUGUAUUGCUCUAUCUACUGCAUUUUUUCAUAGACAACUAUUUUGGGAAAAAUCUUUAUAUAUAAAAAAAAAGUGUAAGGUGUUUUGGGGAGUUGUUUUAGGUAUGUUUUUGUAUGAGGGCAGAGGUAUAUUUUUGUGAAAAAUACUGGUAGACAUUUUAAUUUGGAAAUUUAAAUCUGUAAACAUCUCGGCAAUCGUAAGGUGUUUUGGGGAGUUGUUUUUGGUAUGUUUUUGUAUGAGGUCAGAGGUAUAUUUUUGUGAAAUAUACUGGUAGACAAUUAAUUUGUAAAUUUAAAUCUGUAAAUAUCUCAGCAAUCGUAAGGUGUUUUGGAGAGUUGUUUAGGGGGAGUUGUUUUAGGUAUGUUUUUGUAUGAGGGCAGAGGUAUAUUUUUGUGAAAAAUACUGGUAGACAUUUUAAUUUGGAAAUUUAAAUCUGUAAACAUCUCGGCAAUCGUAAGGUGUUUUGGGGAGUUGUUUUUGGUAUGUUUUUGUAUGAGGUCAGAGGUAUAUUUUUGUGAAAUAUACUGGUAGACAAUUAAUUUGUAAAUUUAAAUCUGUAAAUAUCUCAGCAAUCGUAAGGUGUUUUGGAGAGUUGUUUAGGGGGAGUUGUUUUAGGUAUGUUUUUGUAUGAGGGCAGAGGUAUAUUUUUGUGAAAAAUACUGGUAGACAAUUUAAGAUUUGGAAAUUUAAAUCUGUAAAUAUCUCGGCAAUCGUAAGGUGCUUUGGGGAGUUGUUUAGGGGGAGUUGUUUUAGAUAUGUUUUUGUAUGAGGGCAGAGGUAUAUUUUUGUGAAAAAUACUGGUAGACAUUUUGAUUUGGAAAUUUAAAUCUGAAAAUAUCUCGGCAAUCGUAAGGUG